CACGUAGGCGGCUCUUUAAGUCAGGGGUGAAAUCCUGGAGCUCAACUCCAGAACUGCCCUUGAUACUGAGGAGCUUGAGUCCGGGAGAGGUGAGUGGAACUGCGAGUGUAGAGGUGAAAUUCGUAGAUACUCGCAAGAACACCAGUGGCGAAGGCGGGCUCACUGGCCCGGUACUGACGCUGAGGUGCGAAAGCGUGGGGAGCAAACA
rnacentral:rRNA from 1 species